rnacentral:rRNA from 1 species
GACGAACGCUGGCGGCGUGCCUAAUACAUGCAAGUAGAACGCUGAAGAGAGGAGCUUGCUCUUCUUGGAUGAGUUGCGAACGGGUGAGUAACGCGUAGGUAACCUGCCUUGUAGCGGGGGAUAACUAUUGGAAACGAUAGCUAAUACCGCAUAACAAUGGAUGACACAUGUCAUUUAUUUGCAAGGGGCAAUUGCUCCACUACAAGAUGGACCUGCGUUGUAUUAGCUAGUAGGUGAGGUAACGGCUCACCUAGGCGACGAUACAUAGCCGACCUGAGAGGGUGAUCGGCCACACUGGGACUGAGACACGGCCCAGACUCCUACGGGAGGCAGCAGUAGGGAAUCUUCGGCAAUGGGGGCAACCCUGACCGAGCAACGCCGCGUGAGUGAAGAAGGUUUUCGGAUCGUAAAGCUCUGUUGUAAGUCAAGAACGAGUGUGAGAGUGGAAAGUUCACACUGUGACGGUAGCUUACCAGAAAGGGACGGCUAACUACGUG